rnacentral:tRNA from 1 species
UCCCUGGCAGUCCAGUAGUUAGGACUCUGUGCUUUCAUGGCUGAGGGCUGGGUUCAAUCCCUGGUCAGGGAA